UAUCUCUGUAGAGUCUGCAUAUCAAUAAGCGGAGGAAAAGAAACUAACUAAGGAUUCCCUCAGUAACGGCGAGUGAAGCGGGAAGAGCUCAAAUUUGAAAUCUUCAAGGUUCUACCUUGACGAAUUGUAGUUUAAAGAAGUGUUUUCUGUUAGAUUUGAGUAGAAAAGUUCCUUGGAAUAGGGACAUCAUAGAGGGUGAGAAUCCCGUAUUUGAUCAUUAUUUCCAGCUUUGUGAUACACUUUCAAAGAGUCGGAUUGUUUGGGAAUGCAGUCCAAAACUGGGUGGUAAAUUUCAUCUAAAGCUAAAUAUUGGCGAGAGACCGAUAGCGAACAAGUACCGUGAGGGAAAGAUGAAAAGAACUUUGAAAAGAGAGUUAAACAGUACGUGAAAUUGUCAAAAGGGAAGCGUUUGACACCAGUGUUGUUUUUCCAAAGAUCAAUUACGAAUGGCUUGAUUUUGUGUUGUAUUGACCUUAUCAGCUUUCUUCACUUUUUUCGAGUCUUUCUUAAUGCACUUUUUGGUUAACAAGUCAACAUCAAUUUCUUUUGUUGUAAAAGAGUAUUCGGAAGGUGGCUUUCUUUUCGGAGAAAGUGUUUAUAGCCCUAUACUUCUACAAUCGGAGAGAUUGAGGUCUGCAGCGUAGAUCCUUCGGGGUUAGAUACACUUGUGCUAAGUUGUAGCUUUUCAUAGACAACUUGUUGACUAUGUUUAGUCAUGCGGCUUACUCGCUUGUGCUAUUUUACCUACGCUUAGGAUGUUGAACUACUGAGACAUAGA
rnacentral:rRNA from 1 species